GCUAGUGUAGCUUAAUUCAAAGCAUGGCACUGAAGAUGCUAAGAUGAAAAUUAGAAAUUUUCCAAAGGCA
rnacentral:tRNA from 1 species